AACGAACGCUGGCGGCAUGCCUAACACAUGCAAGUCGAACGAGACCUUCGGGUCUAGUGGCGCACGGGUGCGUAACGCGUGGGAACCUGCCCUUAGGUUCGGAAUAACUCCCCGAAAGGGGUGCUAAUACCGGAUAAUGUCUUCGGACCAAAGAUUUAUCGCCUUUGGAUGGGCCCGCGUUGGAUUAGCGAGUUGGUAGGGUAAAAGCCUACCAAGGCGACGAUCCAUAGCUGGUCUGAGAGGAUGAUCAGCCACACUGGGACUGAGACACGGACCAGAAUCCUACGGGAGGCAGCAGUGGGGAAUAUUGGACAAUGGGGGAAAGCCUGAUCCAGCAAUGCCGCGUGAGUGAUGAAGGCCUUAGGGUUGUAAAGCUCUUUUACCCGGGAUGAUAAUGACAGUACCGGGAGAAUAAGCUCCGGCUAACUCCGUG
rnacentral:rRNA from 1 species